CGCGCUCAUCGUGCCGGUCCGCGAACAUUGAGUGUAAAUACAUAUUAAUUAGUGUCUUACCUCGUUAAUUGUCGUAUAAAAUUAUAAAUCCGAUCGUGUCGCAUCUAUUCGACAGAUUAAUCGCGAUCGCGCGCGCGAAAUUAUUGCCGCUCGUCGACCGCAAAAUUCGCGGUGUGAAUCUCGCUCAGAGUUCAGUCUCCCGAAAGCACACGCGACCGCGUGACGUCACAGCGACGACUCGAGCCCGCCGAAAGUUAUUUGGCGCGCAAAUUUCCGAGAGGACGGGUCGCGAGAAUUACCGCGCGUUUUCUACGCGAAAAUGUCCGGAUUCUUUGAUGUUUUCGAGUGUAUUCUAAGUAGACAAUUGCGCGUUUUCGGUCGUGCUUUCGCAUCGUCGUGUCGAAGUGUCGUUGAAAUAUAGUGAAGCGUGUAUAAUAGUGGCCAUUAUUUGGGAAUAUCGGCGACUUCUGAGUGCGUCGCGGAGGAAGACGCCAUAUCGCGUUGUUCGAUAAAUGGCCUUACUGAAAAAAUAAGAUUUUGUUCGCACGCGAAUAAUUAGUUUCUCGCGUUUUACUACCGAAACACGUCGACGAUUGUGAUAUAUAAUUAAAAUUCGGGCGUUGCAAACGAAAAAGGUAACGCGAGUGCAAGUGUUUCGCGAAGUGCAUCUUUCUACGAGGAUAUGAGGCCCGGAGAGGCAUCGAGCAACGACAGAGCACCUAUUAUGUUUACAACCCCGCUGUUAUACAUCAUAUCGCGAGACAACGUAGUUUGAACAUCAACCACUUUGCUGUUGUGCAUCGGUAUGCGUGAGUGAGA